AUGAUCUAUGUCCAGAACAGUUUCAUCAGUCCGUAGUGGAACUCUGCACCCAUUAAACAUUGACCUCCCCUGCCCUCCUAGCCCCAGCCCUCGGUUAACCUCUGUUCUACUUCCUGUCUCCACAAAUUUACCUGAUUUAGGGACUUGCUCUAAGUGGAAUCGAAAUAUUUGUACUUUGGUGCCUGGCUCAUUUCAUUUAGGAUACUGUUUUCAAGGUCCACCCAAUUUGCUGCCUGUGUAAGUAGUUCCUUCCUUUUGGAGCUGAAUACCAUCGCAUUGUAUGUUUAUAGCAAUAUUUUAUUUAUUUUGUUUGGUGUAAAUGUUGCUGCUGUGGGAAUAAUACUUUUUGUACCCAGUUCAUGCCCAAAACCUUAGAAUCGCGACAUCAUUGGAGAUCAUGGUAGAGAUGAAGAAACAACGGCCCAGAAAGACCAACCCUCACUCAUGGCAGCCUCAACAAAGGAGGUGCAAAUACCACAAAACCGAAAACUUGAGUUCCUUCCUUGGCAGAGUCAUGGUAAAAUGAGUACACCACUUCCUACAGUCUUUGUUCAUUUGUGGCAGCAGGACCCUGCUCCUGUGUCCCCACAGGGACAUCUCAUCCAGGCCAGGUGCCAGAACCUUCUCUGGAAGAAUGCAGCAGCCCCUUUCCUAUGGGAGAAGAUGAAUCGUGUCCUGAACAAGCCUCCAGAACAAGCCAGCAAUGUGCCUGCCAUUCCUUGACAUGGACAAAGUUGAGAGAAGGCCACAACCACCUUGGAUUAGAGAGGAGAGGAGGUCCCCUCUCAUCUGCCCAUCUUGAAAGGAAUGUGGUUAUGCCCCUCCCACACGCAGGAGAAGGGACUAGAAUCUUGGUACCUUUGAGCUAGAAGAGACCUCCGACUUUCACAGAAUGAGGAGACCAAAGCCCACGGCUCAGGUCAAAGGCCUCAACUUGGCCUCUUGACUCUUCAUCUAUACUCUUUCCACUGCAUUAGACUGUCUCCAGCUUUUCAUUGAUACUCAGUUCAUCUCUUCAUUCUAAACUCUUCUGGCUCACAGGGUACCCCAAAACUGUAAGAGGGAGCGAAGUGUCCAAGUGGUGCUCCAAAAUGGGAGGGGCCAGGAAAGAGGCAAGAUGGAUUUCUUCCUGACCAGGGUGGACAAUCAACAGCUUGUCUUGCAGAGCCACCAUCCCCGAGCCUGGCCUCAGCCCACACAGCACCUCACACCCAACACCCUGACCCGCAGAGAUGGGAGCCUGUUCUACUGUCCCAGAGGGAGGUGGGCUUCAUAGCUGGGUGAAAAAAUGACCUCAGUGGAAAGAAUUCUUCGGUGAUAUCUCAUGUCUUUGGGUUUCUACAAAGUUUUUAGUUCCUUAUUCCUUGUCUGACAUGUGACGAUGACCUUUCAUUUACCUGGCCAUGUGUUUUCUAGAGUCCUGAUGGCCCAACAGAUAGCACCUUUGACCUGCUGACCCCUCUGAUUUGCUGUAUGUCUCUGGCCCACUCCGGAAACUCAUACUGCCGGCUUCUGGGCCCUUCUCCAGGCUGGCUCCUCACCUGUGCCUCCAUCUAUCACAGCAACGCCUGCCCUGCCAAGUUCCUGACACCUAGUUGAUCUCUAUGCGGGUUUGAACCAGCCUGACCUCAGACACACAAGAACAAGCCUGCUGCUAUUUUGGCUACAAUCAUGUCACUUUACAGUACUGUGGAGACACUUUACGCAAAGCCUGACAUGUGCACUGCAGACUUUCCAAACAAGGUCGCUAGGGAGCGUUUGAGGUCUGUUGGGUUUUUUUGUUUUGUUUUGUUUUACCAAAAAGACUGGAAAAUAUUAAAAAGUUAGAUUUGGAAGCGACAUUAAAAAUGCUUCAGUUCAGCACUUCCCAAAGUGAGUUCUAAGGGAAAAUAAAGGGGGACAUAUAUUUGCA
rnacentral:lncRNA from 12 species